rnacentral:rRNA from 1 species
UAGGGAAUAUUGCUUAAUGGGCGAAAGCCUGAAGCAGCAACGCCGCGUGUGUGAAGAAGGCCUUCGGGUUGUAAAACACUUUUUGAGGGAAUGAGGAAGGACAGUACCCUCAGAAUAAGCCUCGGCUAACCACGUGCCAGCAGCCGCGGUAAAACGUAGGAGGCGAGCGUUAUCCGGAUUUACUGGGCGUAAAGCGCGUGCAGGCGGCACGGCAAGUUGGAUGUGAAAGCUCCCGGCUUAACUGGGAGAGGUCGUUCAAAACUGCCGAGCUAGAGUGCGGGAGAGGGAGGUGGAAUUCCGGGUGUAGUGGUGAAAUGCGUAGAUAUCCGGAGGAACACCAGUGGCGAAAGCGGCCUCCUGGUCCGCAACUGACGCUCAGACGCGAAAGCUAGGGUAGCAGACGG